ensembl:lncRNA
UACAAGUAUGGCUGUUGAACAUGGGUCCAGUAUGGAGAACUUUUCUGUAUUGACUAGUCUUAGACUUACUGUCAUUUAGACUUGGACUUGUCUCAGUCUGAGAUAAAUAUGGUCUUGAACUUGACUGAGAGUUUGUAUGGAUGGAUGUGGAUGGAUGGGCUCUGGAAUGGAUUUUGACUCUUCCUCACUUUUAUUUGGACUCGAACUUGACUUGGCCUGACAUGGUCUUAACUAAAUCCCGGACUUGGCAAUGGCGGUCUGAUUAAAGGGCUGCCCAGACGGAGACCCAGGACCUGCUGGAGAGUCUAAAUUUCACAGUUGGUUUGGAAAUGUUUAGGGAUGCCCCACGAGGAACUAGAAUCUGUAGCUGUUCUAGAAAAGUCUGGUCUGACCUUCUCAACCUGUUCCCCUGCAACCCCUACCAGGAAAAAUGCUGAGUGUAACACUAGUGAGAUGUGAUGCACCGUCUCAGGACGCUGAUGCGCCGAUAUGCCGAGCUAUUGUACUGUCGGAGAAGAAGAUCGCAAGGAAAUGAUACUCCAUGCAUGGCCUACAUCGACCCGAUCUGAAGUCUUUUCCUGUCUGAGAAUUAACAAGAGGACUAUAAUCUUUUAAAAUGUUUUAAAUUAGUAUUGGGUCCGAGUCCACCUUUGUGGAGUUCGACUCGAGACCAAGUCGAGCCCGAGUCCAAAAGGGGCCGAGUUGGACUUAGGUCAGAGUCCUUAAAGGUCGAGUCUGAGUCCAAGUCCGAGUCCGGAUGAGUCCAGAAAGUAAUUAAAUUGAAAAACGAGUUGAAAUUGCAAUUGUAAACUUAACACUGAGCUGUUAAAUUAAUACAUUAACCUUCACAAACUAACGGCAACAUGAAUGUAACAAUAAAU